UACGUAGGGACCAAGCGUUGUUCGGAUUUACUGGGCGUAAAGGGCGCGUAGGCGGCAAUUCAAGUCAUCUGUGAAAUCUCCGGGCUUAACUCGGAACGGUCAGAUGAUACUGCUUUGCUAGAGUGCGGAAGGGGCAAUCGGAAUUCUUGGUGUAGCGGUGAAAUGCGUAGAUAUCAAGAGGAACACCUGAGGUGAAGACGGGUUGCUGGGCUGACACUGACGCUGAGGCGCGAAAGCCAGGGGAGCAAACGGG
rnacentral:rRNA from 1 species